GAUGAACGCUGGCGGCGUGCUUAACACAUGCAAGUCGAACGGAAAGGCCAGUGCUUGCACUGGUACUCGAGUGGCGAACGGGUGAGUAACACGUGGGUGAUCUGCCCUGCACUUCGGGAUAAGCCUGGGAAACUGGGUCUAAUACCGGAUAGGACAAUGGUUUGGAUGCCGUUGUGGAAAGUUUUUUCGGUGUGGGGUGAGCUCGCGGCCUAUCAGCUUGUUGGUGGGGUAAUGGCCUACCAAGGCGUCGACGGGUAGCCGGCCUGAGAGGGUGUACGGCCACAUUGGGACUGAGAUACGGCCCAGACUCCUACGGGAGGCAGCAGUGGGGAAUAUUGCACAAUGGGCGCAAGCCUGAUGCAGCGAUGCCGCGUGGGGGAUGACGGCCUUCGGGUUGUAAACUCCUUUCGCUAGGGACGAAGCGUAUUUGUGACGGUACCUGGAGAAGAAGCACCGGCUAACUACGUG
rnacentral:rRNA from 1 species